rnacentral:lncRNA from 1 species
GGCUCGAGUCCGAUGCUCACCUCGGGUCCCGGCCGGUAAUAAACUCCUGUGUGGAUUUAAUAUCAGUCUCUGGUUGGUUCUCUCUCACCGGGUGCAGCACUCUGUCCAUCUGAUAAUUCAAUACAUGAAGAUUUUGCUGAAUAAGGUCUGGUGUAUAGCAUGGUGGCUGGAUAUGCAUAGACAAGAAAUGACCAUCACAGAUUGAUUCUCUGAAGAGCUUCUCUUCUAUGGAUCUUACGUUUGCUGACCAUUUCUCCCAGCUUUUCAUACUGUUUAUACUUUACCAGGUGUUCCUGGAUGAGAAUGUGCCUUGAAUCUCAGAAGAGACUUUGAACUUGAACUUUUCAACAAUGCUUAAACAGGAAUGUAUCCAUUUCUUCUAGAUUCUCCAAUUCAUCAGAAUUACCAGAGAUUGAACUCAAGACCUUGCGCUUGCGAGGGAGGUGUGGUGCCACUGAGGUAAAUCCCCAGCCCUCAGUUUAUUUUAAAUGAUAAAAUAAAGAAGACCACUGUGAAAAUUUUUGACAAAUUUUAAAAUAAAGAAAAUAAAUGUCAUGUAAUAUUCCAUCUCUCGUGUAUAAUAAUAAUCUAUUCAACUGUAUAACUGUAUAAGUCUGAGACUAGUAAGCAUUUGUUGUUGUUUGGAUCUGGAGUGUCCCCUUAAAGCCUCAUUUGCUCAGAGGUGGGCUUUUGGAAGGUGAUUGAAUCAUGGGUCAAUAUUGCUGAUUUAGUGUUAGGAGGUGGAUUCUGGC